GUCUAUGGCCAUACCACCCUGAACACACCCGAUCACGUCUGAUCUCAGAAGCUAAGCAGGGUCGGGCCUGGUUAGUACUUGGAUGGGGGACCGCCUAGGAAUACCGGGUGCUCUAGGUU